AUUUUGUAUAUGAGUUUACUGCACCUGAAAAUCCAUUAUCACUAUCAUUUCCCAAAAGCGGAGCACGAAGUUCCAUGCCAUCAACACGAAUUGACAGUUGUUUGCCAUGUCUGUUAGUAUUAGUACAAUUCAGGCAAUUUUUCGUCCCAUGUAAUAGUAUGUGUGCGCUAUUGACGUUUGUUUAUUGUUUUUGAAACCAAUAAUAAUUUUGAUAAUUGAUAAUUUGCAAGUGAUAUGAAUGCUGAAAUUUUUAUUUCACUUCUUCAGCAACUACCAGUGCUGUGGAACAAAUUCUGUGAUACAAGUUUCUGUUCAAAGAGAAGCAAUGGUCACAGGUGCACGAUGUCAUCAUUGAGCAUAUUGCCACGGACUGUGUUAUUAACGGCAACAUCCCUUAUUUGAAAUUAUUCCUGAAUUUCUGGGUAUUCUAGUUUUACCUGACCCGGGACGCGAUCAACGACGAGACCGAGGCACUCAAGUUCAAAAUGUUCCCAUGCCCGAUGCCAAAGCAUUGGUUCUGUCAGAACAAAAUUCCAGCUUAUCUGAUUUGGUAAUUCUUUGCCCCGGAUCCGCGUAUUGAUAGCUGUGAUGCGAAAUGGGCUCGAGAAGCUGCCCCUGCCCCAGGAGGCAUAUGUUGAGCGCGUUCUUGGACGAGGAUAUGCGGAAGCAGCAAUGGAAUAGUGUUUGAACGAAUUAUAAUGUUAUUUUAAUCGUAUUUUUUUAUUGUAAUAGUGAAAUAAAAAACACUCUAGAAUGUAUGUAUGACAUACAUUCUCUUGCAGGAAAAUUCCAUGAUAAUUACAGGAAGUGAACACAUUAUUGAUGUAAAUAAAUAGUGCUCCUGGCUUGUUA